GCUUUUGAGAUGUGUGGAGGCCAGAAGCAACUUUUCAAAGCUCUGGAGCAGUGUAGCCCUGACAGACACAGAGGCCUCUCCUGUCACAUCCUCCAGCAGCUGCAGUGGCUCGUUAGGGAAGUGAAUACAGCCAGCAAGAGACUUGAGGACCCCACCUGAGCUUGCUGUCUUCUCUGGCCCAUCUGGCAUGUGUCCUGGCCCCAGCAACCCCUGGAUCGUUCAUGGAUGGAGGUCAGAAGGGACCACUGUGACCGUCCAGUCAGGCUCCUGCACCACCCAGUGACUCCUGCCUGCAGCCCAGCACUGACAGAGCACAGCCAUUACCCAGGACAGAGAAUUAACCCCUCCCUUGAUAGUAGAUGACUUCAGGAAGCGUGCUGAAGACAAAGAUAUCCAAGCAAUUGUCUCUGAGAUCCUUCCCGUCCCAUGAGCAAAGGAAGACAGAG